UACAAAUUUCAGAAUGGUUGAAAUGAAGGUAUUGUAUUUGUAAUGUGGCAGAUGAAGAUGAUAUUGAAGACAAUGAGAAACAUUCGGAAGAACAUGAGGAAAAAUUAUACCAUGUGUACUGCACCAUCCCGGAUGAUUCUGUAGACACUCAUAUAUUAUACAGUCUGGCACAGAUGCCAGAUCAUUCUCUGCUAAUUUAAUUUCUCUUUUAUUUUAUCAUUAUAAUUAAAUAAACUGUCAUUUAAAGAGA